CCUACGGGAGGCAGCAGUGAGGAAUAUUGGUCAAUGGGCGCGAGCCUGAACCAGCCAAGUAGCGUGAAGGAUGACUGCCCUACGGGUUGUAAACUUCUUUUAUCAAGGAAUAAAGUGAGGCACGUGUGCCUUUUUGUAUGUAAUUUAUAAAUAAGGAUCGGCUAACUCCGUGCCAGCAGCCGCGGUAAUACGGAGGAUCCGAUCGUUAUCCGGAUUUAUUGGGGUUAAAGGGAGCGUAGAUGGGUUGUUAAGUCAGUUGUGAACGUUUGCGGCUCAACCGUAAAAUUGCAAUUGAUACUGGCAGUCUUGAGUACAGUUGAGGUAGGCGGAAUUCGUGGUGUAGCGGUGAAAUGCUUAGAUAUCACGAAGAACUCCGAUUGCGAAGGCAGCUUACUAAACUGCCACUGACAUUGAUGCUCGAAAGUGUGGGUAUCAAACAGGAUUAGAUACCCCUGUAGUC
rnacentral:rRNA from 1 species